AUACGAAAGGUGCAAGCGUUGUUCGGAUUUACUGGGCGUAAAGAGAUCGUAGGUGGUUUAUUAACUCGGAUGUGAAAUCCCGGGGCUCAACCCCGGAACUGCAUUCGAUACUGGUAGACUAGAGUUUGGGAGGGGUAAGCGGAAUUCCGUGUGUAGCAGUGAAAUGCGUAGAUAUACGGAGGAACACCUGAGGCGAAGGCGGCUUACUGGACCAAUACUGACACUGAGGAUCGAAAGCGUGGGUAGCAAACAGGAUUAGAAACCCUAGUAGUCC
rnacentral:rRNA from 1 species